GAUGGGUGACCCCUUGGGAAGUCCUCUUAUUGCACUCCUUUUUGCACCCCGAGCGGCCAAAACCUCUCCCGUCGACCUCCGAGGCGAUGGUUUUGGGCCUCGGAAUUUGUCGUGACCUCUACGCUAUCAGUCUCGUGAGGCUUGGAGAGAGCUUUCCGGAAUGGGGCCGCAAUAGCGAUUCCGAGUUCGUUCGAGAAAGUCCCGAUGGUUUCGGCGUGCGCUUGCCGUGUCUGGUACGUGCUCGGCCUCAUGGGCAUCGGAGAGAUCCGACAAUGCCGAUUCCGAGAUCGUUCGAGAGGUUUCAGGGUGCGCAAUGGGCUCCGAUCGUCGAAACGCUAUCCACGACGUGCACAAAGGCAAGGGAUGACGCACAGAAAAUGAGUGCGAUCAUACCAGCACUAAAGCACCGGAUCCCAUUAGAACUCCGAAGUUAAGCGUGCUUGGGCGAGAGUAGUACUAGGAUGGGUGAUGUAACGUCCCAUUAGUCCCACAUCGGAAGUGGGCAAUGUGUAUGAUUAGCUUAUAAGAGCCAGAUGAGUGUACUACAUUAACUCCCGCUUAAGCAUUUUGGUCCAUGGUUGAAGGACCAAAAUGGAGUUAUUGGCCAGUUGGCUCAUCAGACUCGGGUCGUGACAUUUGGUAUCAGAGCCGACCUAGCAUUUGGGCAGGGUGAGAGGGCUCGAGUAGGAAAGGGCUACCUGUGGAUGGAGUCAAAGAACUCAUCACGGCGUGGAGCCACCACUGAGUUAAUCCUCACAUGCACUAUGCUAGGGUUCGAUCUGGGAUAUGUUGGGCCUUGACGAGGACGUCAAGCUAAUUGAGUUGGGAAGUGUAACAACCUAUUAGUCCCACAUCGGAAGUGGGCAAUGUGUAUGAUUAGCUUAUAAGGGCCUGAUGAGUGUACUACGUUAACUCCCGUUUAAGAAUUUUGGUUCGUGGUUGAAGGACCAAAAUGGAGUUAUUGGUCAAUUGGCUCAUCAGACUCGGGUCGUGACAUCACCCAUCACCCAUCCUAGAACCAUAUCUCAUCAUUGUAUGUUUAAGAAAAAUUUUUAGAUGAUGAUUUCAUUAUUCUCCUGCUAUACGUUAACGAUAUAUUUAUGGUUGGCCAUAAUGCUGGAAGAAUCGAAAAGCGUAAAGGAGAGUUAAGCAAGUCUUUUGGCCGCUCGGGGCGCAAAAAGGAGUGCAACACGAGGACUUCCCAGGGGGUCACCCAUCCUAGUACUACUCUCGCCCAAGCACGCUUAACUUCGGAGUUCUGAUGGGAUCCGGUGCUUUAGUGCUGGUAUGAUCGCACUCGCUUUGUUUGCGUCGUCCCUCGCCUUUGUGCACGCCGCGGACGGCGUAUCGAUGACUGGAGCCCAUUACGCGCCCCGAAACCUAUCGAACGAUCUCGGAAUCGCCAUCGUCGGAUCUCUCCGAUGCCCACGAGGCCGACCGCGUACCGGACACGGCAAGCGCGCGCCGAAACCAUCCGGACUUUCUCGAACGAACUCGGAAUCGCUAUUGCGGCCCCAUUCCGGAAAGCUCUCUCCGAGCCCCACGAGACUGACUGCGUAGCGGUCACGGCGAAUUCCGAGGCCCAAAACCAUCGCCUCGGAGGUCGACGGGAGAGGUUUUGGCAGCUCGGGGCGCAAAAAGGAGUGCAACACGAGGACUUCCCAGGGGGUCACCCAUCCUAGAACCAUAUCUGAUCAUUGCAUGUUUACGAAGAAAUUUUUAGAUGAUGAUUUCAUUAUUCUCCUGCUAUACGUUAACGAUAUAUUUAUUGUUGGCCAUAAUGCUGGAAGAAUCGAAAAGCGUAAAGGAGAGUUAAGCAAGUCUUUUGGCCGCUCGGGGCGCAAAAAGGAGUGCAACACGAGGACUUCCCAGGGGGUCACCCAUCCUAGUACUACUCUCGCCCAAGCACGCUUAACUUCGGAGUUCUGAUGGGAUCCGAUGCUUUAGUGCUGGUAUGAUCGCACUCGUUUUGUUUGCGUCCUCCCUCCCCUUUGUGCACGUCGCGGACGGCGUAUCGACGA
rnacentral:lncRNA from 1 species